AAUAUUGGACAUUAGGCGAAAUCCUUUUCCAGCCAUUCCGCGUGUGUGAAUAAGGUCUUCGGAUUGUAAAGCACUUUAAGUUGGGUGGAAGGGCAGUAAGUUAAUACCUUGCUGUUUUGACGUUACCGACAGAUUAAGCACCGGCUAACUUCGUGCCAGCAGCCGCGGUAAUAUGAAGGGUGCAAGCGUUAAUCGGAAUUACUGGGAGUAAAGCGCGCGUAGGUGGUUUGUUAAGUUGGAAGUGAAAGCCCCGGGCUCAACCUGGGAACUGCUUUAAUAACUGCUGAGCUAGAGUACGGUAGAGGGUAGUGGAAUUUCCUGUGUAGCGGUGAAAUGCGUAGAUAUAGGAAGGAACACCAGGGGCGAAGGCGACUACCUGGACUGAUACUGACACUGAGGUGCGAAAGCGUGGGGAGCAAAC
rnacentral:rRNA from 1 species